rnacentral:rRNA from 1 species
UGGGGAAUUUUGGGCAAUGGGGGAGACCCUGACCCAGCGACGCCGCGUGAGGGACGAAGGCCCUUGGGUCGUAAACCUCUUUUGCAGGGGAAGAAGAAGAUGACGGUACCUUGCGAACAAGUCCCGGCUAACUACGUGCCAGCAGCCGCGGUAACACGUAGGGGACGAGCGUUGUCCGGAAUUACUGGGCGUAAAGGGCGCGCAGGCUGUGCGUCGAGUCGGCUGUUGAAAGGCGGGGCUCAACCCCGCGAAGCGGUCGAGACCGGCGUGCUGGAGUACUGCAGAGGCAGGCGGAAUUCCCGGUGUAGCGGUGAAAUGCGUAGAUAUCGGGAAGAACACCGGUGGCGAAGGCGGCCUGCUGGGCAGUAACUGACGCUGAGGCGCGAGAGCCAGGGUAGCG